rnacentral:tRNA from 1 species
GGGUAUAGCUCAAUUGGUAGAGCACCGGUCUCCAAAACCGGGGGUUGCGGGUUCGAUUCCUACUGCCC